rnacentral:rRNA from 1 species
GAUGAACGCUGGCGGCGUGCCUAAUACAUGCAAGUCGAGCGAACAGACGAGGAGCUUGCUCCUCUGACGUUAGCGGCGGACGGGUGAGUAACACGUGGAUAACCUACCUAUAAGACUGGGAUAACUUCGGGAAACCGGAGCUAAUACCGGAUAAUAUAUUGAACCGCAUGGUUCAAUAGUGAAAGACGGUUUUGCUGUCACUUAUAGAUGGAUCCGCGCCGCAUUAGCUAGUUGGUAAGGUAACGGCUUACCAAGGCAACGAUGCGUAGCCGACCUGAGAGGGGGAUCGCCCCCACUGGAACGGGGACCCGGCCCAAAUCCCUACGGGAGGCAGCGUGAGGGAAUCUUCCGCAAUGGGGGAAAGCCUGACGGAGCAACGCCGGUGGAGUGAUGAAGGUCUUCGGAUCGUAAACCUCUGUUAUUGGGGAAAAAAAAAUUUGUAAGUAACUAUGCACGUCUUGACGGUACCUAAGCAGAAAGCCCCGGCUAACUACGU